UGACCCAGCAACGCCGCGUGGAGGAUGAAGGCCGUAAGGUUGUAAACUCCUGUUAGAGGAGAAGAACAGUACCGAUUGGAUCGGUAUUUGACUGUACCCUCAGAGAAAGCCCCGGCUAACUACGUGCCAGCAGCCGCGGUAAUA
rnacentral:rRNA from 1 species